rnacentral:rRNA from 1 species
UACGUAGGUGGCAAGCGUUGUUCGGAAUUAUUGGGCGUAAAGGGCGCGUAGGCGGUUUGCUAAGUCAGUUGUGAAAGCCCGGGGCUCAACCCCGGAGGGUCGGCUGAUACUGGUGGACUAGAGUACGGAAGAGGUAGCUGGAAUUCCCGGUGUAGCGGUGAAAUGCGUAGAUAUCGAGAGGAACACCUGCGGCGAAGGCGGGUUGCUGGGCUGACACUGACGCUGAUGCGCGAAAGCUAGGGGAGCGAACGGG